GUGAGUCAUCGAAUCUUUGAACGCACAUUGCGCCCUCUGGUAUUCCGGAGGGCAUGCCUGUUCGAGCGUCAUUAUCACCCCUCAAGCUCGGCUUGUUGUUGGACGUUUGGUGAGACUUUUAACUAAGUCUUGUCCGUCUCAAAGAUAAUGACGGCGUCGGCGAGGACUCCGGUACACUGAGCUUUCGGGCACGUACUCGGUAUAAGGACUCGCGGACCCGGUCUAUUCGUACGCACCUUUAACUAGGUGCGUGCAACCCCCUUCUCAAGGUUGACCUCGGAUCAGGUAGGAAUACCCGCU
rnacentral:misc_RNA from 1 species